AUUGAACGCUGGCGGCAGGCCUAACACAUGCAAGUCGAGCGAGCGGCGGACGGGUGAGUAAUGUCUGGGAAACUGCCCGAUGGAGGGGGAUAACUACUGGAAACGGUAGCUAAUACCGCAUACAAUCGGCUUUGCCCAGAUGGGAUUAGCUAGUAGGUGGGUUAAAGGCGCACCUAGGCGAAGAUCCCUAGCUGGUCUGAGAGGAUGACCAGCCACACUGGAACUGAGACCCGGUCCAGACUCCUACGGGAGGCAGCAGUGGGGAAUAUUGCACAAUGGGCGCAAGCCUGAUGCAGCCAUGCCGCGUGUAUGAAGAAGGCCUUCGGGUUGUAAAGUACUUUCAGCGGGGAGGCGUUACCCGCAGAAGAAGCACCGGCUAACUCCGUGCCAGCCGCCGCGGUAAUUC
rnacentral:rRNA from 1 species